GGCUGCUGUUCUGCUGACUGUCUUGCUCAGCCGGGGUCAUCUGCUUCUCUAAGACAUCAAGGAAUGCCAAGGACGCCAUGCCCCUAGGAAUGAGAGUUGCAGGAAGACAGUGAUAAUGGGAAGGGAGGCAUUGCCAACAGCCCAACUGCGUUUUUGACCCUUGGCCACAACAGUAGAUGGGGAGUGGCAGGUGUUCCUGGGCCAAGGCCUGCUGAGAUGCAAGAAGGUACGCUGACCUCUCUGAGCAAUCCACCAACGACAUGACCUACAGAGGGACACAUCUGGCUUCACCCAUUCAAGAAGCAUCUCCUGCCUCAUCUCUAUCUCUUGAAGCCAACCCCAUCAGCCUUCUGCUCCCGUUACUCCAUUAAACAAGCCAUGAAGUCUCAGUGGCUUCCAUGAUGUUGAUUCCGAUGGUUUGUUUUCAGACCACAUCUCACCCCCUCGGUAGCCUCUUAGCACAGAUGAUUGGUGCCUUCUUAUUGACACUUGCUGUCUUCCUUCCUUCUUGUUCUUAGUCUCUUGCUGGUCUCUUUCUGAUCUCUGAAUGUUGGAAGUCACCCUGGGCUUGCACCUCUGUCACUGCCCAGUCAGUCCAUUGCUAUAAAUACCACACCCUGGAGGCUGGGAUAUGGCUAAGGGUAGAACUUGCAAAGGGUUCAUGAGACCUUGGGUUUCUUUCCUAGCACCACAAAAAUAAUAGACAAAUACCAUCUCUGUCACCCUGACCUGUCUUCUGAAGAGGACUUCUUUCCCCAGGGGUGCUCAAGUUUGGCCUGGGCCCUGAAGGAAGAGAGAUGAGUUGGCCAAGAGGAGAAAGUAGAGUUUUUAUUCCCCCUAAGGGGAAGAGGAUGAGAAAAGAGGACUGGGUUGUGGCUUAGUGGAAAAGCACUUGCCUUGUAUGUGUGAGGCACUGGGUUCAAUCCUCAGUGCCACAUAAAAAUAAAUAAAAUAAAGGUAUUAUGUCCAUCUA